rnacentral:rRNA from 1 species
GCAUACUAUAGAUCCUAAUUCAUUUUAUUUUAAUAAAUAAAAUUACUGCCAAAUCCUAACAGAAAAAAUUUUACAAAUUCUUAACCUAUUAAUGUAACCCAUCUCUUCUUUUAAAAGCUGCACCUUGAUUUGAUCUAAAAUAAAAUUUUAUUUAAAGAAAAUUAUCCUUCUUUAGAAAUAUUCAUUUCAACAACGAUAUACAAGCAAUAUAAAAGUAAAAUAAAUUGUGGACUAUCAAUUACAGGACAGGUUCCUCUGGUAGGUUCAAGUACCGCCAAGAUAUUUAAUUUUCAAGCACUUAACUAAUACUAAUCAGGUUCUAAUAAUUACGAUAUCAAUAACAGGGUAUCUAAUCCUAGUUUACAGUAAUAUUUUCCUAGAUCAUCUUAUUUUUCAUCAUUUAUUUUAUAUUAAAAUUUCACCUCCCAAUAUAAAUUCUCUAAAUUACUAAUUAAUUAACUAAAACCACAAAAAUUAAGUAGCACCUUUUGUAUAACCGCA